ensembl:lncRNA
CUGAGACAGUGUUUUUGGAAUUAAUGAGGUUGCUGGCAUCAGCCUUGAGAGAGUUGUCUCCUGUAGCUCCUUGCUUGUUUAAAUAAGACACCUAUCCCAUCCAUAGAAGCUUAUACAAAUAUUUGUUAUUUUGUUGCUAAAUAAUUGGGAGGAAUUUUUAAUGCUGAGCUUUUACUUGAUUACAUCCACUACAUUUAGAGAUAUUUAUUUUUGGUAUUUUGAGAUAUUACUUUUAAUCCAGUUAAUUUAUACUACAUGUAAAUACUUUAGUGAUAUUCUAUGCUAUAUUGGGUGAGAAAUGAAAUGUUUUGUUCAGGAUGUAACCACAGAUAUGAACAACAAAAUAUUUAUCCAUGAUUUUCUUUUCAUGGUGUUUCAAAAUUAAUUUAUUAGCAUAACCCUGUUUAAUAUAACUUCACAAAAUUAUUUCUGUAAUUAUGUGCUUAGUUGUCUGACACAUCUAGACAUGCAUAUAUAUUUACCUGUGGUUGAUAAUAGGAAAAUGAGGUGAACAGAAAGAAGAGAUGGAGGAUUCAGCUAUUAAAACAUUAGAUUGUUGUGGCCUGUUUGCCUCAAUCCCUUUAAAAUCUAGACAGAUAUAGAAAGCAGUUUAUGGGAUGAUUAUCUGCAUAGUCCAUACGGCAUUCCACAUACAGUCUCAGGUUAAAGAAAAGAUAGUUACUGGCUCCUUCCAGAUUACCAUCAUGAAUCCAAUUAACUUCAGGAAAUACUGUAGCAACAUCCUUCAGCUUCUCUUCUGUAAAUGUGAAUUUUCCUUGAACGUACUUCUUGUGGUUGAUACUGCAAUAAUGAAGGGGUCAGCAAUCACUCAUUCUUUUUGCUGGGCAACAGAUCUGGAGAAAUGGGACCUCACUAUGAGUAAGCAGUUCCUCAGAAAUGCGGUGAGAAGCUUUCCGAGGGGAUUCCUGCUCGUGCUGGCAGCUGAACUGGCACAACUGGAAUCAUCCCAGUCUAGAACACAAGCUCUACUGUCUGUUUUGAAAAUGUGUUCUGAAGUAAAAGAUAAUAGUUACAUAUAUUAAAUAACCAUAUUAAUUGCUACAGUCACGUGGGACCAACAUCUUGUUAUUGCAUCACUUUUUGGCUGUAUAAUUCUUUUUCUGGCUACUAAAAUCUUUGAUUUUAUUCCUUGCUCUCAUUUCAUUCUGGAGCAAAGAAUCCUGCCCAGUGACUGGAAGCCAGGAAGACUUUCCAGAUCCUGAGAUACUGAAAAGGCAUCUUCCUUUUUGCAAGGCAGGGUGAUGCCUAAGCCAGUUCUGGGGUGUGGAGUAGUUUCUCCUGUGGCCCUUCCUUCUACCAGACUGUGGAGGAAAGGCACUACCAGCACCUAAUCCUACCCCACUGCUAGUCCGCUCAGUCCGUGCUGCAGCCUGACCAUGUGAACCAGUAGCAGAGCCCUCCUCUAUGCUCCUUCUGGGUAAACCUGCACCGCAGUUAGUUGCAGAACCUGUUUCACUGUGGACCACUGAUACCCCAGUUGGCCUAAUUGCUACAUGGCAUUUUACUACUCGACCUGUAUCUCUGCAAAGAGAAGCGCUUUUAUUCCAGAGGAAAUCAUGACAUGGACAAGAGGCUACUUUGCUCCUGAAAAGCAAGUGGAUGCACAAACUGAAUCUCACCCAUGACAGCACAGUGUGACUACUGCAAAAAAACCACCUCUCUGCAUGGAUGAAGCAGUGAGUAGGAUCUGACAACUACUCAUCUGUUAUCAAACGCAACAUGUGAAUCAGUGGUGCAACUAAUGGGCAACAAAACUAGCAUAUCCUUUCUGCCAGGAAUUGGUUUGCUCAAACGGGGAAAAAAAGCCUCAAAAAUACAUACAGAGGGACAAUAAAAUGAAUCCAAAAACCA